rnacentral:rRNA from 1 species
AUUGAACGCUGGCGGCAUGCCUUACACAUGCAAGUCGAACGGCAGCACGGGCUUCGGUCUGGUGGCGAGUGGCGAACGGGUGAGUAAAGUAUCGGAACGUACCUUUCAGUGGGGGAUAACGUAGCGAAAGUUACGCUAAUACCGCAUAUUCUGUGAGAAGGAAAGCAGGGGAUCGCAAGACCUUGCGCUGAUUGAGCGGCCGAUAACAGAUUAGCUAGUUGGUGGGGUAAAGGCCUACCAAGGCGACGAUCUGUAGCGGGUCUGAGAGGAUGAUCCGCCACACUGGAACUGAGACACGGGCCAGACUCCUACGGGAGGCAGCAGUGGGGAAUUGUGGACAAUGGGGGCAACCCUGAUCCAGCCAUGCCGCGUGAGUGAAGAAGGCCUUCGGGUUGUAAAGCUCUUUCGGCCGGGAAGAAAUCGCAUGGGCUAAUACCCUGUGUGGAUGACGGUACCGGAAUAAGAAGCACCGGCUAACUACGUGCCAGCCGCCGCCGUAAUAC